rnacentral:lncRNA from 1 species
AUGAGAAAAAUGUCUGGAGGAAGAGAGAAACUCCAAUUACACACAAUGAAUAGGAUAGAAUUCUCAUGGGCCUGGAAGAGAAUCAUAAAGGGUCUCUUAGUCCAUUUCCAUUCUCCCAGUGUCAGCUUCUGGGAUCCUCAUAGGCUCCAAACAGGGUCACCAGCAAGGGUCACCAGCAAGCCCUCAUCCGGUGUUUUGGGGGCCCCACCCAGCGAAACACCUGAAAGUCUUAGGAGAGAAGAUGAAGCAGGAAGGGUCUUACCCAGCCCAGCCUUCUCCUGGAAACAAUGAAUGCCAUUGAUUCAAGAUGCUGAGAGCCCAGGGGCUAAUAGAAUUUUUGAGGAAUCAGUGGGAAUGAAGAAUGUAUGACCCUUACUAGGUCAAAUAUAAUGCUCUAAUGAUGAUGACCGUGAUACCUGUCAGUGUUGAGCUUUUGCCAUGUGCCAAGCACCGUCCUAAUACCUUUCUUUGUCUGUCUCAGGAAAUCCUCAGAUCUAUUCUGUGAAGUAGGCUAGGCACUAUUCUCCUCCUACUUCACCGAUGAGGAAGCCAAAUCUCAGGGGAGCAUGAGAAACAUGACCAAGCUGUCCAUCUGGGAACUAGAAGAGUAGGGAUGUGAAUCCUUGCAAUCUGGCUCCAGGGCCCUUACUCAGAACCACCACGCACUGCUUCCUUCCAGAGUGUCCUGAAUGUCCCCCAAACUAUGGGGCAACUAAAAAUAUUAUUUAAAGAAACCUUAAAAAUUAUUAAAGCAUUUUUGCCAUAUGGUGUUAACUAUGUACUCUUUCAUACUUUGAAAGAAAACUCCUGAGAUAAGGCUAUUUUAGAGUACUUGAAAAGAAAGAGUUUCCCAAUUGAUUUUCUGAAGUUACAUUACCCUAUUACUAAAAAAUAAAACCUGAUGAAGAUAGUCUAAAAAGUGAAACUUUUGGGAUCCCUGGGUGGCGCAGUGGUUUGGCGCCUGCCUUUGGCCCAGGGCGCGAUCCUGGAGACCCGGGAUCGAGUCCCUUAUCGGGCUCCUGGUGCAUGGAGCCUGCUUCUCCCUCUGCCUGUGUCUCUGCCUCUCUCUCUCUCUGUGUGUGACUAUCAUAAAUAAAUAAAGAAAAAAGAUAUUUAAAAAAAUAAAAUAAAUAAAAAGUGAAACUUUUAAUGUGAGAUAAUAUUAGAAAUAUAUUUCUGCCACUGGUUCCUGAGACAGACUUCCAAAAACCGUUGCUAUUUCCCAAGUGAUAAGAACACUAAGAGCAUCUUUCGUGCUGAUGAUGUGACUCCUAGAUCACUCCUGGUUGGGGGCCGGUCACCAGAAAGACCAAGGCAUGAUUGGAAGCUUGAACGUUCAACCCCCACCCCCACCCCCCACCUCUAGAGAGGACAGAGAGGCUGGCAAUGGAGCUAAUGAUCCAUUAUGCCUAUGUGAUGAAUGAAGCCUCCAUAAAAAUCCUAAAAUACAGGAUUCUGAGAGCUUUCAUAGGGAGUGAACCCCACGUCCAAUAUGCCAAGAGGAGGAUGCACCUCAACUCCAUGGAGACAGAGGCUCCUGUGCUUGGGACCCUCCCCGACCCCUUUGUAUCGCUUCACCUGGCUGUUCAUCUGUAUCUUUUAUCACAUACUUUAAUAAACUGGUAAGCAUAGGUAACUGUUUUCCUGGGUUCUGUGAGCCACUCUGGCAAAUUAAUGAACCCAAGGAGAGUGUCCCGGGAACCUCUGAUUUGUAGCCAAUUGGUCAGGAGCACAGAUAACAACCUGGAUUUGUGAUGGCAUCCAAAGAAGAGAGGGAACAGUCUUCCUGUGGGACUGAGUCUUUAAACUGUGGGAUCUGACCUAUCUCCAGGCAGAUCAUGUCAGAAUGGGUUAAACUGUUUGGUGAUGGGGGAAACGCCCCACCCAUUUGGAUUGGUGACCAGAAGUGAAUGUUUUAUGUGAGUAGUAAACGCGACACGCAGGAGAACUAUGGGCUUUUCUGGUAUAAUUCACUACAAGGAUCUAGAGGCCGUAUUUGACUUGCAUGUAUGUGUUUGCCUAAGCCGGUAGUAUUUCUAAAGAUACCUAUAUUAUUAAUAGGGCCAUGCACUAGGUUUCAUCUAUUCCCUACUGUCUUACACUUGACUGAUUCACACAUUUAUAUUAUUUGCCAGUUCUUGAAGAUAUUUGAGUUGCCACUAAAAUCACUCACGAUUGUAGAUAUUUAAUGGUAUAUACAAUUUAUUAGAUCUUUUAAAUUUGCAGAAAAAUCCCUUGAAGCGUUUGAUCUAUAGCUCUUUUCAAUUUUAUUACCUGAAAGUUUUGAAUCCUGCUCAUGAGAAGAUGUCACAGAGGGUCCUCUAGAGAGUCAGUCUGUCAAUCACUAACACUCAUAUCUCCAAGUUUCAUUCUCUAGUGAUGAAAGAAGACUCUUCUACAUAUUAGGAGUGAAAUCAUCAGCUGUCAGGAUAGCAGUAAAUGUGGAGAUUUGUGAAUGUUUUGGUACAUACUAGCAAGUAUAAAAUAAUCACCUGUCACAGCCAAGUGAGGCUUAAUCUAGAAUAUACCAAGAGCCAGGGCUACUAGGAAUAAAUUCAUUGAAAUAAAUAAGAAGUGGCCCCAGGAAACAAGAAAACAUGUGGAAAUUAAAAAAAGAAGGCCUAGAAAAUUCAGUCUGGGAUGUUUGUCUGUUUGUUUAUUGAGGUACAAUUGACCUAUAACAUUAUAUUAGCUUCAGGUAUAUGACAUCACGAUUUACUAUUUGUAUAUUGUACAGAAUGACCACCACAGUAAUUCUAGUUUCUGUCAUCAAACAAAGUCAUAAAAACUUCUUUUCUUGUGGUGAGAACUUUUAAGAUUUACUGUCUUAAGAAUUUUCCAAUAUGCAUAAUACAGUAUUAUUGGCUAUAUUCCCCAUGCUGUACACUACAUCCCCAUGAUUUAUUUAUUUUAUAACUGGAAGUUUGUACCUCUUGACUCCUUUCACCCAUUUUGUCUAUUCUCCAACCUCCCUCUCCUCUGGUGACUACCAAUCUGUUCUUUAUACCUAUGGAUUUUGUUUUGUUUAUCCAUUUGUUUUGGAUUUUGGGGGGAUAUAAGUGAAAUCGUAAGGUAUUUGUCAUUCUCUGACUUAUUUUGCUUAGCAUUACACUCUCAAAGUUUAUCCAUUUUGUUGCAAAUGGCAACAUUUCAUUCUUUUUUUUAUGACUGAGUGGUAUUGCACUGUAUAUAUAAACUACAUCAUCUUUAUCCAAUCACUCAUUGAUGAACACCUAGGUUGUUUCCACAUCUUGCUUUUGUAAAUAAUGCUGCGUGAACAUAGUGGCGCAUAUAUCUUUUUAUUCUUUCCUUCUUUACUAUUUUUUUAAUUAAGGCAACAGUUAUUAGACACCUCAUCCAAGUACGAAAGCUACACAAAAAAUCACUAUUUUAACUCACAGAACUGAAAAUUUGUUUUCUGUUGCUAGGUUUGAUUGCAUACGUCUUUUCAAGUUAUUAGUUUCCAUUUUCCUUAGAUAAAUACCGAGAAGUGGAAUUACUGGACCAUAUGGUAGUUCUAUUUUUAAUUUUUGAGGAACCUCCAUAUUGUUUUGUACAGUGGCUGCACCAAUUUACAUUCCCACCAACAGUGACUGAGGGUUCCCUUUUCUCCAUAUCCAUAACAAUAGAUGUUAUUUUUUGUCUUUUUGAUAACAGCCA